rnacentral:rRNA from 1 species
GACAGAGGGUGCAAACGUUGUUCGGAAUUACUGGGCGUAAAGCGUGUGUAGGCGGCCAAGCAAGUCGGAUGUGAAAGCCCCGGGCUCAACCCGGGAAGUGCACUCGAUACUGCAUGGCUUGAGUGUCGGAGAGGUUGGUGGAAUUCUCGGUGUAGAGGUGAAAUUCGUAGAUAUCGAGAGGAACAUCGGCGGCGAAGGCGGCCAACUGGACGACAACUGACGCUGAGACACGAAAGCGUGGGGAGCAAACAGG